GCACGGUCCGUGGUGAAGAUCGCUGUUACUUCGUUCGACACACGAGAGGUCGCGGGUUCGAAUCCCGCCGGGUGCUCCA
rnacentral:tRNA from 1 species